CGACUGUACGUGGAGCGAUGCAUUAUGAGCGCCCGGCAGUUACUCACAUCGAUACUAAAGUCGCUUUGGGUUCCCCGAAGCAUAGUUGGACAACCUCGGUCGCGCGCGCAAGCACACACGCAAGCAAGCACGCACGUUGGCUCUAGUCUUUGCGCGGGGAAACCAGCGCACAGGCCAUCAGCUCACAGUCAUGAAUUCGUGAGGGAGUCCUGUCGCACACGCACUCACCGACAGAAACCUCCGGCUGGAAUUUGAUGGUGACGUUAUUUACUUCCACGUUUACGUUGACAAAUUGUGACAAAUAAAGACAGAGCUGGAAGCGUGGGUGUGUUAUUAUUGGACGAUUCACAGCAGGAUUCCAUUUGGAGCUUUUUAAUUCUGUGUGUAUGAAGCGAUUUCAUACAAAGGGUUGUACAAGUGUGUCUUACAAAUAUUAUUAAUACGAGUAGUUUGAACUUUGACAAAAGACCAAAGACAGGUGCUACGGUGUGUCAUUCAUCGUCCUAAAACAUCUGGGACCAGUGCGCAUGCAGCACACACAAUUUUUGAGCCGCUGUAUGAUCAUUUCUCAGGGAAGCAGUGAGGAUUCAAAGCAAAAUACACCAUCUUGCCCCGUCUAUUUAACGGAUCUUGCUGCCCUUGUCAAAGCAGCACAAAGGAACCUUCUUGACAGUUAAAUCACUUAAAUUAUAAACCUCAGAACAUGGCUAUCCCCAACGUAAGUCAUCUCUUAAAAGAGGCCACCUAGCGGGAAAAAAGAACACUCUGGUCUUUUUGUUAGCAGAAAGGAUUUGCUAAUUUGCCACUCUCAGCAUCCUUUUUGGAUUUCCCGUUCCGGUUACCCCUGGUGUUGGAUCGGUGGUGGAUGGUUUCGUUAUGCGGCCAGCUUGGGGAAGGAUUUCGAGACAAAAUACUGGUGAGUAUGUCAGGCCAAGAGUUACUGUUGAUAUGAAUGUGGCUUCGUUUGAGGUGUUGCAAUGCUUUCAAUUCUGGGAUGGCUUUUUUAAAAUGUAAAUGCUUGUCAGAAAAUAAACGUUUGAUGGGACACUA